rnacentral:rRNA from 1 species
UGGGGAAUAUUGGACAAUGGGCGAAAGCCUGAUCCAGCCAUGCCGCGUGUGUGAAGAAGGUCUUCGGAUUGUAAAGCACUUUAAGUUGGGAGGAAGGGCAUUAACCUAAUACGUUAGUGUUUUGACGUUACCGACAGUAUAAGCACCGGCUAACUCUGUGCCAGCAGCCGCGGUAAUACAGAGGGUGCAAGCGUUAAUCGGAAUUACUGGGCGUAAAGCGCGCGUAGGUGGUUUGUUAAGUUGGAUGUGAAAUCCCCGGGCUCAACCUGGGAACUGCAUUCAAAACUGACUGACUAGAGUAUGGUAGAGGGUGGUGGAAUUUCCUGUGUAGCGGUGAAAUGCGUAGAUAUAGGAAGGAACACCAGUGGCGAAGGCGACCACCUGGACUAAUACUGACACUGAGGUGCGAAAGCGUGGGGAGCAAACA